rnacentral:rRNA from 1 species
GAUGAACGCUGGCGGCGUGCCUAAUACAUGCAAGUCGAGCGAACGGACGAGGAGCUUGCUCCUCUGAUGUUAGCGGCGGACGGGUGAGUAACACGUGGAUAACCUACCUAUAAGACUGGGAUAACUUCGGGAAACCGGAGCUAAUACCGGAUAAUAUUUUGAACCGCAUGGUUCAAAAGUGAAAGACGGUCUUGCUGUCACUUAUAGAUGGAUCCGCGCUGCAUUAGCUAGUUGGUAAGGUAACGGCUUACCAAGGCAACGAUGCGUAGCCGACCUGAGAGGGUGAUCGGCCACACUGGAACUGAGACACGGUCCAGACUCCUACGGGAGGCAGCAGUAGGGAAUCUUCCGCAAUGGGCGAAAGCUUGACGGAGCAACGCCGCGUGAGUGAUGAAGGUCUUCGGAUCGUAAAACUCUGUUAUUAGGGAAGAACAUAUGUGUAAGUAACUGUGCACAUCUUGACGGUACCUAAUCAGAAAGCCACGGCUAACUACGUG